UCGGGCCGAACGCGAAGAUCGCGUGAUGAAACGAAGAAAGAAAUACAAGAAGAUGAUGAAGCCACACUUAGAGAGCUGCUUAUUAGGUGGAGUAAGGGUCAGUUUCGAGUCGUCCUUGAAGCCGAUGCGCGGUCAGCGCUUUGUCUUGUAGAGUCAUCUGCGAGUGAAUUUCGGAAUUUUCAUUGGAGAGUGCGAGCAAACCUGGGAACGUGUCCACUGUAGUUUGGAACACAGCCAUGGUUUCCUUACCUCCCAGUCUGCAGAAGCAGGUGAGCGUGAUGAGUAUGAACUUGAGCGCCAAAUUGGAUGAGCUGCAACGCGGCGACCGGCACCUGGAGACUACGGUGGCCCUAUGCGAAAUCAGAAGCCAACUGCAGGAGCUGACCAAAUCAGUGGAGUCCUGUCAGUCGGAAGUUUCUGAAGUGAAAAGAGACAUGGUGGCUAUAAAGCAUGAGCUGGACACCGUUCAGCAGGUCAAGGAGGAAAUCGAGGAACUGCGUGAGUACGUCGAUCGUCUUGAAGAGCAUACGCACAGAAGGAAGUUGCGUCUGCUUGAACAGGGUUUGACCUUUUUUCUCACGUACGCGAUCCUGGCCGCGGUAUUGGGGAUGUUGCAAUUCGGCUACAACACCGGAGUGAUUAACGCGCCUCAAGGGAACAUCGAGUACUUCAUCAAGGACGUAUAUAGGUCGAGGUAUGGACAGGACAUUCCGGACGAUGCUGUCGAAGGACUCUAUUCUCUAGCCGUGUCCAUCUUCGCCAUUGGGGGGAUGGUGGGUGGUUUCUGCGGGGGAAUGGUUGCCAACAGAUUUGGAAGAAAAGGUGGUCUUCUUCUAAACAACGUUUUAGGAAUCGGCGGAGCCUGUUUGAUGUGGUUCACCAAAAUGGCUAAUGCCUAUGAAAUGCUCUUUGUCGGUAGAUUUAUAAUUGGUGUCAAUUGCGGUUUGAACACUUCUUUGGUGCCGAUGUACAUAUCGGAGAUAGCUCCGUUAAAUCUCAGGGGCGGAUUGGGGACGGUGAAUCAAUUGGCUGUUACGGUUGGUCUUCUUCUUUCCCAAGUGUUGGGCAUCAAGCAAAUAUUGGGUACAAACGAUGGAUGGCCUUUAUUACUUGGUUUGGCUGUAUGCCCGUCGAUGCUACAAUUGGUUCUUUUACCCAUUUGUCCGGAAAGUCCCCGGUAUUUACUUAUUACGAAGCAAUGGGAAGAAGAAGCGAGAAAAGCAUUGAGGAGGCUGAGAGCUAGCAAUCAAGUUGAGGAAGAUAUUGAGGAGAUGCGAGCGGAAGAAAGAGCGCAACAAUCGGAAUCGUCCAUCAGUAUGAUGCAACUUAUCUGCUCGAGAACUCUCAGGGCCCCACUCAUCAUCGGAAUAGUUAUGCAAUUAUCACAGCAACUUUCCGGUAUCAACGCGGUAUUUUAUUAUUCAACGAGCCUCUUCACCAGUUCCGGCCUAUCGGACGAAAGUGCCAAGUUUGCGACGAUCGGCAUCGGUGCCAUCAUGGUAGGGAUGACGCUGGUGUCCAUUCCGUUAAUGGAUAGGACAGGGAGGAGAACGCUGCUCCUCUACGGCCUUGGGGGAAUGUUUAUAUUCUCCAUUUUUAUAACAAUUUCGUUCCUGAUAAAGGAGUUUUUUGGCUACGUACAGGAGAUGAUAGACUGGAUGUCGUACCUAUCCGUGGUGUCGACGUUGAGUUUUGUGGUAUUCUUCGCCGUGGGUCCCGGUUCCAUACCCUGGAUGAUCACUGCCGAACUGUUCUCGCAGGGUCCCCGACCUGCAGCUAUGUCCAUUGCUGUGCUGGUUAAUUGGAUGGCAAACUUCCUCGUUGGCAUUGGCUUCCCACACAUGAAGAAUUCGUUAGAAAAUUACACGUUUCUUCCCUUCAGCGUAUUAUUAGCAGCCUUUUGGAUCUUCACGUAUAAAAAAGUGCCCGAGACCAAGAAUAAAACUUUCGAGGAAAUUUUGGCCAUCUUUCGACACGGAAACGGCAGGGCUAGUUUCCGGGAUAGCCGUCUGUACGGGAGUAUGUUGAACUGCGUUAACGCUUUGGAGCAACACCUACCCGUUACGGAACAAGCGGGAUUGGUCGUCGCUGAAGAAAAAACACAACAAGAUUCGUUUCCCAAUCCGUUCGAGAGGCACUCUUACAAAGCCGUUUACAACUAUCGGAGGCAUUCUGCGUAUGCCAGCGUUUCAGCUGGUUCGGAACAUUCUUCAAGAGGUGGAGACAGCGGUAGCCGACCACCUCCGCCUCUACCACCACCAAGAUUUCCAAACAGCGCCGUUUGACAAUGGGAAGGAUUCAGCGCCGUAGCAACCUUAAAUCUUCUGCCGCUUCCAGGACCACUACUUGCUCUCGAGGACCAUCUUUUCGAGUUAAUCUCGCAGAGGAGUAAAGCGUGUGCCACCUUCCUUCGGCACAGUUUCAAGCGGCCAUACCGCAACUGACACUGCCCCCCAAAAAAAUAUAAGAAUAAAAAUAUUCACGAAAUUCUACGGACACUGUUAUUAUCAUCGUUGUCGUUCUCCAAAAGAUGGACGCUAUUAUUCUCUUUCACGCCAACAAUUUGACUGUUUUUACAAAGAAAAAGACAUUAAAAAUUUCGCCUUGUUUCAAAAAAAUAAAUAAUAAGAACUUUACCAACUCAAGAAAAAAGAAAGAAAUAAAUUAAAUAAUAAGUAUUUAUAAUCGAACUCAUUCUUCUUCCACGUUUGACUGUAGGAAAAAAAUCGGCCUUAGAAAUCGAAAAUCAAGUGUAUGUUUAAAUCAUUUUUAUUUAGUUUUUCGUUAUUAGUGAAAAAAUGCGGGGUUGGACAUUUUUGAUGCAAUCCACAGAAGAAGACAUUCAAAACGAUACUCGAAAUCGCAACAAGUCAAGUCCGAAUGGGACAGAUGUGAGAGGAACUUGGCGUUUUGCACGUGACAGUCC
rnacentral:misc_RNA from 1 species